AACGAACGCUGGCGGCAUGCCUAACACAUGCAAGUCGAACGAGACCUCAGGGACUAGUUGCGCAUGCGUGCGUCACGCGGCGGAACCUGCCCUUAGGUUCGGAAUACUUCUCCUUCGGGGGUGCUAAUACCGGAUAACGUCUUCGAACCAAACAUUGAUCGCACUUGGAUGGGCCCGCGUUGCUUUAGCUUGUUGGUAGGGUAAAAGCCUACCAAGGCGUCGAUCCAUAGCUGGUUUGAGAGGAUGAUCAGCCACACUGGGACGGAGACACGGUCCGGACUCCUACGGGAUGGAGCAGAGGCUGAUAUUGGACAAUGGGCGAAGUGCAGAACGAGCAAGGCCGGGAGAGUGAUGAAGGCGUUAGGGAAAUGAAGCACUUUUAUCCGGGAUGAUAAUGACAGUACCGGAAGAAUAAGCUCCGGCUAACUCCGUG
rnacentral:rRNA from 1 species